CCCACAGAAAUCACACUUCCCUGCCAGGCACGCUCACCGCCUGUCUCUGGGCUAUUUUUGCCGCAUCCUUUUGGAGGCACAGCAGCCGGAACGGAGCACGGCGACUUCAGCACUCAAAGGCAGACCGUGAGCUUUAAUGGAGCUGGUGGCAUUAUAAUAUUCGCGCUCGCCUUCCCCACUGCUUUCCUAAUAUAGCCCGACACCGACCGGGAUUUUCAACUGUGGCGGCGCGCAGAGCAGCUCCCUGCUGUCCUGUCACCCCUGACCUGGCAGCAAGCCCCGGCCUCGCAGCCUCCAGCUGGGGAAGCGGCCGGGAGAAGCCAGGCUCCUGACACGCGGAGGCAAAGAUCAAACGGCGCUCGCUUGGCAACCUCCAGCCCUGUGCCAGGGGACAGAGGGGUGUCCCGUGCUCAUCUAUCCAGCAUUUCCCAGCACCACCAUACAGAAGGGGACAGCAUCACCGGGAACCCCGCAGCGUGCGCCCCACGGCUCUGCGCGGCCCCAUUACGCACCAACCCUGCUGGGACUUCCCAAGGGCUCAUCCUCCGCACGGCGCCCAGCUCCGGAGCCAGGAAAUGUGGCGGGGCUGUGCCGCCAGCGUGUGCCGGCGAAGCGGGCUCGCGAGCGCUCGCAGCGAUUCCAACGCCCGGAGCUUGCGGCUGGGCUUCGCCUCCUAAGCCUGCUUCCAACUCCUUGCGCGGGGAGCAGCGAUUUGUCUGCAAAUGUAUGCGGUUAAAAUAAACGCCGAGAAUUUUAAUCCUGGGAAUUUGGAAAGUAGGAGAUUUAAAAUAACAAAACCCUUUCAUAUGGCGCUUAAUCCGAAAUUAGAUGGGGUUUUAAGUUGUUGGUUUUUUUUUUUACGGUGGUGACUGGAAGUUCCUCGGCCACCUCCUGCUCACUGUGGGCUGGGGGCAAUUUGGGGUGCCCGGGUGGGGGCUGCUGGGGACCGGCGGCUGGCCCCCGGUGCUGGGGGCGGUGAGGGAGAGCGAGUGCUCUUCUUUGUUGACAUGGAAUGGAUCUCCCAC
rnacentral:lncRNA from 1 species